AAAAAAACUAUCAUUCGAGACGCUGCACAACGGCAGGGACGCAUAGCUAUGACGACGGCGGAGGCGACAGGCGAGGGCUUGGAGUUCCUAUCGGAUCCAGUUGACAGGUUUCCUCUGCCAGAUCUCGCCCGCCGGCGAAUCACUGCUGACCGGCGGAGGCAACCAAACUUUCGUAUGCACGGCUACCGAAUUCAGUAUCGGUGAUGUGGGCGAUGCGGCAGUGACACUGGAACUAGAUUUGUAGAGCGAAUGCAAUGGAGUGGUCUCUCGGCGCCCAACUCAGAGCAGUCGACGGGCAAAAGCGAUCUUCAGGCGCCGGGCUGUACCAAGAGACUGCGUGUUGGGCAUGCACCUGAAGUCCUGAAGAACGCCCUCCGUGUGCCGGCAGAAUGAGUGCUCUUGAAAAACGUUGAGAAGAUAUGCUGAGAAGAAAACUGACACGGUAAUAGUGCCUGCAGUAGGAAGCACGUUUGAUUCACUCGGAGAAGCUUAUGACUAUUACAAUUUGUAUUCCUGAGUGAUUGGAUUUGGGGUAAGAUAUGGCAAGAACAGGCUUAAUGUUGAAAGGACAAAAUGCAUGCAAGAGAUAGUAUGUGGCUGCUCGGGGAUUCCGAAGAAAAGCAACACUCGGACUUGCCGGUGCAGGUGCCCCGCGCUCAUACGAUUGCUCCGAUCAAAGGACAAUGGAUGGUACAUAAGUGAGUUCAUACCAUCACACAACCCUUCGUUAAUGGAGAAGUGUGGCGAGAAGGUGUACUAGCCGUCACACAAACAUAUCGAUAUAUACACACAUGAUGUGGUUAAGCAGCUCCGCGAAAAUAACAAUACCAUUGGCAAGGUUUACAAUAUAAUUGGUAGUUUCUUUGGUUCAAUGUUCAAUGUGUUAUUCACCAAAAGAGCGUUGAGGGGGCUAUGUGGCAAGAUCAGCCUCGAGCAAGCAGGCGAUGAUGGCGGGAAGACAAUGGAUGUUUUUGUCGAGUUGGGAGCAAAAGAUACUGGUCUCUACAGAGUGCAGCCGGAUGAGGAUAGCCGCGUACAUAAUUUGUUAUGGUCAACUGGAUCAAGCAGGGCCCAGUACCACUUCUUUGGAGAUGCAAUAACAUUUGAGACAACAUACAAUACCGACCUCUAUGACAUGCCAUUUGGCCUGUUUGUGGGAGUCAACAACCACUUCCAGACCGUGAUAUUUGGUGGCGUCCUAGUAAGAGAUGAGAUAGUCGAGACUUUUUAGUGGGUAUUCACUGAAUUCAUCUGCAUGAUGGGCGGAAAACAUCCACAAACUUUGCUUACAGAUCAAUGCAGGUCCAUGGAGAUAGUAAUGGAGAAAGUGAUGCCAGAAACCACUCACCUCUGGUGCAAGUGGCACGUGCUGAAGAAGGCAAAGGAAUCUCUGGGACCAUACUACACAAAGGAAAACGCUUCGGGUCGGCGCGCCGGCUGAACUUUGCGCCGGUCGCUUGGCUCGCGCAGUGCAAAGCGUUAGGACCCACACACUGCUUGACGUUACCUUAUCUAAUCACGGUGCACUCUCCUCCACCCAUUUUCUUCUGCCCCCAAACACUUCCGUGCUCCUUCUUUUCUUUUGCUACACAGUCGCCGGCGCGGCACGCAGCUCUGUUUUCCAUCGCCGGUGAACCAGCCGCGGCGGUGCCUGACGUUUGAGUACUGCAAGCUGCGCAGCGCGGCCGUGCAACCCUACUUCCUCAGCGAUGGGGUUAGUGCUGCCACAACCAGCGCUGCAAUCAGCUGUGCCCUUCGACGACGGAGUUGUAUCUGUGCACGCCGGAGCUGCCACCGUCGUUUUUGGGAGCUGCAAGGUCAACGACGACGAGCCAGGCCGGCGGCACCGUGCUAUCAUGGAUGGGCGGCGACCUCACGCGCGGCCUGGUGGACCACGGCGGACCACGACGACCAUCUCUUUUCACUGGAGGACGCAACACACCAGCGAAGGAAGCGACCUGGGCGGAGAAUAGAACAAGCGUUGACCAGAUCUGAGGGUUAGGGGGCGAUUAAUUCGACGGCUAGCAUGUGACCGGCCGAAAAAAUUGGGCCGGCGCACCGGCGCCUAACACUGACCCUACACAAAGCGCAACAAAUUCAGGUCAGAGUUCCACAAGAUAAUACAUCACAUGCUGACGGUGGAGGAAUUCGAAACUGCAUGGAAGCAACUGACAGAAUCACAUGGUUUGGAAAAACAUCCUUACGUUACUCACAUCUAUGAAACAAGAGCAAAAUGGGCUGAACCAUACUUCAAAGGUAAAUUUUGUGCCAAAAUGACAAGCACACAGCGCAGCGAGAGUGCCAACCAUAUGCUCAAGGGUUAUGUUCCAGCAAGCUGCCCCAUGCAUCUCUUUGUUUGAUAGUACAUGCGACUUCUUUUUGAUAGGGAAGCAAGUGACAACUAUGAGAGGAGGCGCACAAAAAUAGUAGCCCCAGUACUGAAAAUGAACACGCCAAUAGAGCUGCGUGCAAGCAGAGUCUAUACACAAGCCAUGUUCUAAAAAUCUGGAUUGUCUACAAAGUAGAACUUGCUGACGAAGGGAAUGAGUUGAUAUGUGAGUGUUCUAGUUUCGAACACACAGGUCUGCUAUGCUGCCAUUCAGUGAAGGUAUAAAGUAAAUCCCUUGGUACAUGACGCGGCGUGAGUGGUACACAAACCUGUAUGAUAUGCCAUUUGGGCUGCUUGUGGGAGUCAAUAAUCACUUCCAUAUCAUGAUUUUUGGUGGUGUGCUAGUAAGAGAUCGGACAGUGGAAACUUUUCAAUGGGUGUUCACUGAAUUUACCCGCAUGAUGGGCGACAAACAUCUAGAAACCGUGCUCACAGAUCAAUGCAAGGCGCUGGAAGUAGCAAUAGAGAAAGUGAUGCCACACACGACUCACCGUUGGUGCAAGUGGCACGUGCAAUUGGUAAUUUCAUGGGGCUAAAAGCUCCAGAACAAAAGCGAAAGCCCGGUCGACCAAUCACUCACAGGGAUAAACCUCAUAUGAUGAUCGUGGUGCAAAAAGCAAGAAGUAUAGACUGACAGCAAAUGCACAAGCUGGAAAUGGAUGCGGGACAAGUAAUUAAACGAACUCGCUUCUCCAGUAUAUGUUGAGAACCAGGGCACAAGAGCACCACAUGUCCACAAAGAGGUGAUCUCCCUCAAAAAGAAAGGAAAGCGUCAAAAUGCUCGAAUUAUGGCGUCGGUGGUCACAGGAAAAACACCUGCAGCAAGCCUAGGGUUGUACUCCAUGUUCAAAAUGCUACCUUAGAGCCAAAUGCAAUUUGUGGGUGACUUCAUUAGAUUCAGUGUUUUUGUUCUUUGUUGUUGAGGGUCUGUGGCCGUUAACUUUAACCGCAAGACUCUUGUUGUAAUAAUAACCGUCAGUGAAGUACGUGUUGUCUGUUGGAAUCCUGUUAGUUCGAUUUUCA